rnacentral:tRNA from 1 species
ACACCGUUAGCUCAGCGGGUAGAGCCGUUGUCUUCGAAACAACCGGUCGCCGAUUCGAAUCCGGCACGGUGUC